rnacentral:rRNA from 1 species
AACGUAGGACACAAGCGUUAUCCGGAGUUACUGGGCGUAAAGGGCGCGUAGGCGGUCUUGCAAGUCCCGUGUGAAAUCCCUCGGCUCAACUGAGGAACUGCCUUUGAAACUGUCUGGCUUGAGGCCGGUAGAGGGUAGUGGAAUUCCCAGUGUAGCGGUGAAAUGCGUAGAUACUGGGAGGAACACCGGUGGCGAAGGCGGCUACCUGGACCGGUACUGACGCUGAGGCGCGAAAGCGUGGGUAGCAAACAGG